UUGACCAUCAGCUCAGUUGGUAGAGCAUGAGACUCUCAAUCUCAGGGUCAUGGGUUUGAGCCCCACGUUGGGCAAA